AAAAUACUGUUGGGUAUUUUGAUAAUGGUUUAUUUUACAUAUUCAAUGUAAGCACUUGCACUAUUUGUUGUACAUGUACAUGUUAGAUUUAAUUUGUAUGUGUGGGGAUUGAUGACAUAGUAUUAUGUAAGAUGUGAUGGGUUGUUCAAACAAUGUUUAGCCGACAAGUAUAUUAUGAUAUAAGAUUUAGGUAACAAGCAUUAACACAUAUUGUCUAGAGAUAGGAUGUGUGAAUCUUAAUAAUUAAGUCUCAUUGUUCUGAAUACUAAUGGUAUUAACUAUGGCAUACCAUAGCCGAUAUAAAUAAGCCUAGUUUGGAAAACAAGAUAAGACGAGGGCAGAGAGAGACGUAGAGAACUUGCCCUCAGACCAUGAGGCAAGGGGUCUGCCCUUGGACCCCGGAAAUAAGGUCUUCGCAGACCUAGGGACAAGAGCCAGAUAGAUUUCACCAUAUGUACCUGUAAAUAUGUUAUCCAGCAUUAUCUGUACCUGUAAAUAUGUUAUCCAGCAUUAAAGUAUAUUUCUAAUAAAA